rnacentral:lncRNA from 13 species
UGCCCUUCUACGGCCUCCUCCACGUCUCCUGAUGUACUGGCCUGUCUCCUAGUAGCGCCUCCAUGCUCUGGACACUACGCUGACAGACACAGCAAACCUUCUUGCCACAGCUCGCAUUGAUGUGCCAUCCUGGAUGAGCUGCACUACCUGAGCCACUUGUGUGCGUUGUAGACUCCGUCUCAUGCUACCACUAGAGUGAAAGCACCGCCAGCAUUCAAAAGUGACCAAAACAUCAGCCAGGAAGCAUAGGAACUGAGAAGUGGUCUGUGGUCCCCACCUGCAGAACCACUCCUUUAUUGGGGAAUGUCUUGCUAAUUGCCUAUAAUUUCCACCUGUUGUCUAUUCCAUUUGCACAACAGCAUGUGAAAUAUAUUGUCAAUCAGUGUUGCUUCCUAAGUGGACAGUUUGAUUUCACAGAAGUGUGAUUGACUUGGAGAUUGUGUUGUUUAAGUGUUCCCUUUAUUUUUUUGAGCAGUGUAUAUAUAUAUAUAUAUAUGAAGAAAAAAAUACAGUUAAAAGUAAAAGAUUUUUGUUGCAUUUCAGCUAACUCUACCCCUCACCUCCUUCUCAUAACAAGUCCAAUCUGACGUGAAUUUGAUCAAAUCUGGACACUUGCAGCCAUGAUAACCGGCCCACCAGCCGUGUCUGAACGGCGCGGUGGGACCGGGGACUGCUGGCAGCUACAACGUCAACAUUAGCGCAUUACAGUUUCAUGUCUGGGAAACAGUCCCCAGCACGUCGAAACACGCGGAUGGUUUACCUAACAAUAUAAAUGAUGUAGUUACAGACUGACUUUAUAGCUAACGCAGUGACAGCCGCCGGUAAUUGAGGCGUUAACGUUACUAGCCUGAUAAAUUAACGGACAAAACAACAGCUAACAUCCACUCCAGCACCGAAAGGAACUGGUGAAAACAGCCCGUUUCAACAGCUUGGGUUCGUGCGGCUGGGAGAACGGCAUCGUAGUCGGAGAUAGACCGCUGCUCCAAGCCGAAUCCCGCCCGCUGAUAGCCCACCGGAGAUUCUGCCUUCACGGUCGGGCACGAGACAGAUCUGGGUCACCGGCGCCUACUGCCCGGGGAAGAUCAGACACCGGGGUCGGGACAGUUGGUUUGACAGGACCAUAUGGCAACCGAUUUUACGUUCUUCUCCCAUAGAUUAAUAUGGGCGUCUCUAUCCUCAGCAUCAAUGCACUGAGAGGCCAUUGACGUAGCUCUGACGCAAUUCAGUUAAGGAUUUCCCCCAUAAUAGGCAAACAAAGCAGGGAGCGCAGAGCAGAGGGGAAGAGGACAGAAGAGAAGUGCAGAGGGGGAGGGGAAAGAAGAGAAGUGCAGAGGGGGAGAGGAAAAGAGAAUAGCAGAGGGGGAGAGGAAAGAAGAGG